CCUACGGGCGGCAGCAGUGGGGAAUAUUGGACAAUGGGGGGAACCCUGAUCCAGCCAUGCCGCGUGUGUGAAGAAGGCCCUCGGGUUGUAAAGCACUUUCAGUGAGGAAGAACGCCUGGUGGUUAAUACCCAUCAGGAAAGACAUCACUCACAGAAGAAGCACCGGCUAACUCCGUGCCAGCAGCCGCGGUAAUACGGAGGGUGCGAGCGUUAAUCGGAAUUACUGGGCGUAAAGCGCGCGUAGGUGGCUUGAUAAGCCGGUUGUGAAAGCCCCGGGAUCAACCUGGGAACGGCAUCCGGAACUGUCAAGCUAGAGUGCAGGAGAGGAAGGUAGAAUUCCCGGUGUAGCGGUGAAAUGCGUAGAGAUCGGGAGGAAUACCAGUGGCGAAGGCGGCCUUCUGGACUGACACUGACACUGAGGUGCGAAAGCGUGGGUAGCAAACAGGAUUAGAUACCCCAGUAGUC
rnacentral:rRNA from 1 species